rnacentral:rRNA from 1 species
UGGCGGACGGGUGAGUAACGCGUGGGAACGUGCCCUUUGGUUCGGAACAACACAGGGAAACUUGUGCUAAUACCGAAUGUGCCCUUCGGGGGAAAGAUUUAUCGCCAUUGGAGCGGCCCGCGUUGGAUUAGCUAGUUGGUGGGGUAAAGGCCCACCAAGGCGACGAUCCAUAGCUGGUCUGAGAGGAUGAUCAGCCACACUGGGACUGAGACACGGCCCAGACUCCUACGGGAGGCAGCAGUAGGGAAUCUUGCGCAAUGGGCGAAAGCCUGACGCAGCCAUGCCGCGUGAAUGAUGAAGGUCUUAGGAUUGUAAAAUUCUUUCACCGGGGAAGAUAAUGACGGUACCCGGAGAAGAAGCCCCGGCUAACUUCGUGCCAGCAGCCGCGGUAAUACGAAGGGGGCUAGCGUUGCUCGGAAUUACUGGGCGUAAAGGGCGCGUAGGCGGACAGUUUAGUCAGAGGUGAAAGCCCAGGGCUCAACCUUGGAAUUGCCUUUGAUACUGGCUGUCUUGAGUUCGGGAGAGGUGAGUGGAAUGCCGAGUGUAGAGGUGAAAUUCGUAGAUAUUCGGCGGAACACCAGCGGCGAAGGCGACUCACUGGCCCGAUACUGACGCUGAGGCGCGAAAGCGUGGGGAGCAAACAGGAUUGGAUACCCUGGUAGUCCACGCUGUAAACGAUGAGUGCUAGUUGUCGGCAUG